rnacentral:rRNA from 1 species
GACGAACGCUGGCGGCGUGCCUAAUACAUGCAAGUAGAACGCUGAAGCGAGGAGCUUGCUCUUCUUGGAUGAGUUGCGAACGGGUGAGUAACGCGUAGGUCACCUGCCUUGUAGCGGGGGAUCACUAUUGAACACGAUAUCUAAUACCGCAUAACAUUGGAUUACACAUUUCAUUUAUUUAAGUGUGGCCAUUUCUCCACUACAAGAUGGACCUGCGUCGUAUUAGCUAGUAGGUGAGGUACUGGCUCACUUAGGCGACGUUAUAUAGCCGACAUGAGAGGGUGAUCGGCCAGCCUGGGACUGAGACACGGCCCAGACGGAUACGGGAAGGAGCAGGAGGGAAUCGGGGGCAAGGGGGGGAACAUGGAGCGAGAAACGCGGCGGGAGUGAGGAAGGUUUUCGGAUCGUAAAGCUCUGUUGUAAGUUAAGAACGGGUGUGAGAGUGGAAAGUUCACACUGUGACGGUAGCUGACCAGAAAGGAACGGCUAACUACGUG